GAGAUGGAGACCCUGGGACGCCUGGUAUAUCUGGCGAAGUGGGACCCAGGGGAAGGAAAGGAGAGAAAGGUGUGACAGGUGACGAGGGCCUCAGGGGGCCUGAAGGAAAGAAAGGUGACAUGGGCCACAUGGGUGCUG